UGGGGAAUUUUGGACAAUGGGCGAAAGCCUGAUCCAGCAAUGCCGCGUGUGUGAAGAAGGCCUUCGGGUUGUAAAGCACUUUUGUCCGGAAAGAAAUGGCUCUGGUUAAUACCUGGGGUCGAUGACGGUACCGGAAGAAUAAGGACCGGCUAACUACGUGCCAGCAGCCGCGGUAAUACGUAGGGUCCAAGCGUUAAUCGGAAUUACUGGGCGUAAAGCGUGCGCAGGCGGUUGUGCAAGACCGAUGUGAAAUCCCCGAGCUUAACUUGGGAAUUGCAUUGGUGACUGCACGGCUAGAGUGUGUCAGAGGGGGGUAGAAUUCCACGUGUAGCAGUGAAAUGCGUAGAGAUGUGGAGGAAUACCGAUGGCGAAGGCAGCCCCCUGGGAUAACACUGACGCUCCAUGCACGAAAGCGUGGGGAGCAAACAGGAUUAGAUACCCUGGUAGUCCACGCCCUAAACGAUGUCAACUAGUUGUUGGGAUUCAUUUCCUUAGUAACGUAGCUAACGCGUGAAGUUGACCGCCUGGGGAGUACGGUCGCAAGAUUAAAAGCUUAAAGGG
rnacentral:rRNA from 1 species